GACGAACGCUGGCGGCGUGCUUAACACAUGCAAGUCGAGCGAGGCCCACCUUUCGGGGUGGUGUCCUAGCGGCGAACGGGUGAGUAACACGUGGGCAACCUGCCCUCAGCUCUGGGAUAACUCCAAGGAAAUUGGGGCUAAUACCGGAUAUGACUGCUGACCGCAUGGGUCUGGUGGUGGAAAGAUUUAUCGGCUGGGGAUGGGCCCGCGGCCUAUCAGCUUGUUGGUGGGGUAGGGCCUACCAAGGCGACGACGGGUAGCCGGCCUGAGAGGGUGACCGGCCACACUGGGACUGAGACACGGCCCAGACUCCUACGGGAGGCAGCAGUGGGGAAUAUUGCGCAAUGGGCGAAAGCCUGACGCAGCGACGCCGCGUGGGGAUGACGGCCUCGGUG
rnacentral:rRNA from 1 species